GAGUUUAUUCAGCUCACACUUUUAAAGAAUGUAUAUAUAUUUUAAAGUUUAUUGAGGAUAAUUUUACGCACGCGGUAACCUUCUCCGAAAAAAGAAAAAGAAGCAAAAAAAUUUCAUAAAAUCAUCAUUUAAUUUUAGAGAAAAUUGCAAACCCUUCCAAUUGUAAUUUUUAAACUAUAAAAUUAAAAACUCUCUCGAUUACAAUUUUUGAA
rnacentral:lncRNA from 1 species